CUGGAAUUGAAAUUGAGUUGACCACAACCCUGUUCCACAUAGACUAAAGCAUUUUACUUUACAGGUCAGAAGUAAGGCAGACGAAGGAUUGCUUUUACAUGUUAUAUUCUAUAGCAGCCAUUAGGAAAUACAGCACCUUCAUAUAUAAAGUAACUCAGACCAAAAGCAAAUUUGUCCCAUCCGGCGCAGAACUCGGACUCUUUUUGCUUUCAUGUGGAUUGGUUGUCAUUGGUUGUCCAGUGAGCAGAAUGCCUGAGGGCAGGUGAAACAGACUUUGUAGUCCUGACAGAGUCUACCAUCUUGCUCUGCAUUCACACAGGCAAAUCCAUGAGUGGCAUCAUACUUGGAAAACACACACAGGCAAAUCAUCUAGUAGCUAUGGGCAUUUGUUAACUCCUGAUGUUCUAUACAUACAGCUUUGGAAAUGUGAAUGUAAGCUAAUUUAAUAUGUAAAAUGUAGGUUGGAAUUGUGAAGGAUAUUGACCCUUUAAUAUCGUCAAUACCUAGUUUGUUAUUGUUUGUUAUUGGAUAUCAUUGGAUGUCAGUGACACAUCAUAGAAAUCACUAAGUCAUCGGUGAGCAGGUACAGUAUGAACAGCUUGGAGGGUUAGGGUUUAACCAGAAUGUGGACAUGAAGCUAGGGUUAGGGUUUAACCAGAAUGUGGACAUGAAGCUAGGGUUAGGGUUUAACCAGAAUGUGGACAUGAAGCUAGGGUUAGGGUUUAACCAGAAUGUGGACAUGAAGCUAGGGUUAGGGUUGAGCCAGGAUGUGGACAUGAAGCUAGGGUUUAACCAGGAUGUGGACAUGAAGCUAGGGUUAGGCCAGGAUGUGGACAUGAAGCUAGGGUUAGGGUUGAGCCAGGAUGUGGACAUGAAGCUAGGGUUAGGGUUGAGCCAGGAUGUGGACAUGAAGCUAGGGUUAGGGUUGAGCCAGGAUGUGGACAUGAAGCUAGGGUUUAACCAGGAUGUGGACAUGAAGCUUGUGUUUAACCAGGAUGUGGACAUGAAGCUAGGGUUAGGGUUGAGGUUAGAGGAGCUGCUCAUGAGAGGAAGGUGUCUCUGAGCAGAUAUCCCAUAGUUGGUCUGGGCCUCGAUGCUGAUGGGGCUUCUACACACUUGACCAGGAAACAUCUGCAGCAGCUGGGGUAUGGACUCCAGGUCGUCCUCAUCUGAUGGGUUAUCACUGCUCAGCCACCGUGUCCCACACCCCUAAAAG
ensembl:lncRNA